AGCUCCAAUAGCGUAUGUUAAAGUUGUUGCAGUUAAAAAGCUCGUAGUUGGACUUGUGAGCGCCGGAUGCGGCGAUCUGCGGCCAAAAGGUCGUUGCGAUCAGCCCGUCCGGGCGCCGUAAAAUCUGCAACUGGGUCGCCGCUGGUCUUAAUUGGUCGGUGGCGUCUGCUCGGUUGCUCGUUUACUGUGAGAAAAUUGGAGUGUUCAAGGCAGGCGUGGAUUGCAACUGAACAUGUUAGCAUGGAAUAAUAAGAUAGGGCUCCGGCUCAUAUUUUGUUGGUUUCUAGGGCGUGGGAGUAAUGAUUGAUAGGGACAGUUGGGGGUGCUAGUAUUCAGCGGCCAGAGGUGAAAUUCAUGGAUUCGCUGAAGACUGACUUAUGCGAAAGCAUUCACCAAGGAUGUCCUCU
rnacentral:rRNA from 1 species